AAUAAAUGGGAUUAGAGGGUCUUCAAAGCCUGCAGAAUUUUCAUCUUUUAGUUCCUCAUUCAUCAUCUUCCUGUGGGAAACCCGUCUGUCCUAGAUCAUACUCUUUAUCCUCAUUUCGAAACCUAAGCAAUCUCUCUUUCGCCUAUUCAUUAGGUCGUCCUUCUACCCCUUUUGGCUCUUGUGAUAAUCUCAGAAGUUCUGGUCUAAAACGAUCUUGCAGUG
rnacentral:misc_RNA from 1 species